rnacentral:rRNA from 1 species
ACUCCUACGGGAGGCAGCAGUGGGGAAUUUUACGCAAUGGGGGAAACCCUGACGUAGCGACACCGCGUGAGCGAAGAAGCCCUUUGGGGUGUAAAGCUCUGUCAGCUGGAACGAAAACAAUGACGGUACCAGCAGAGGAAGCAUCGGCUAACUACGUGCCAGCAGCCGCGGUAAGACGUAGGAUGCGAGCGUUGUCCGGAUUUAUUGGGCGUAAAGAGUUCGUAGGUGGUUUGUUAAGUUUGGUGUUAAAGAUCGGGGCUCAACCCUGGGACUGCACUGAAUACUGGCAGACUCGAGUGUGGUAGAGGCUAGUGGAAUUCCCAGUGUAGCGGUGAAAUGCGUAGAUAUUGGGAAGAACACCGGUGGCGUAGGCGACUAGCUGGGCCAUAACUGACGCUGAGGAACGAAAGCCAGGGGAGCGAAUGGGAUUAGAUACCCCAGUAGUCCCAUG